CGGACGGGUGAGUAAUGUCUGGGAAACUGCCUGAUGGAGGGGGAUAACUACUGGAAACGGUAGCUAAUACCGCAUAACGUCGCAAGACCAAAGAGGGGGACCUUCGAGCCUCUUGCCAUCGGAUGUGCCCAGAUGGGAUUAGCUAGUAGGUGGGGUAACGGCUCACCUAGGCGACGAUCCCUAGCUGGUCUGAGAGGAUGACCAGCCACACUGGAACUGAGACACGGUCCAG
rnacentral:rRNA from 1 species